UACGUAGGGUCCGAGCGUUGUCCGGAAUUACUGGGCGUAAAGAGCUCGUAGGUGGUUUGUCGCGUUGUUCGUGAAAUCCCGCGGCUCAACUGCGGGUCUGCAGUCGAUACGGGCAGGCUAGAGUUCGGUAGGGGAGACUGGAAUUCCGUGGUGUAGCGGUGAAAUGCGCAGAUAAUCAGGAGGAACACCGAUGGCGAAGGCAGGUCUCUGGGCCGAUACUGACGCUGAGGAGCGAAAGCGUGGGGAGCGAACAGG
rnacentral:rRNA from 1 species